GAUGAACGCUGGCGGCGUGCCUAAUACAUGCAAGUCGAGCGAACAGACGAGGAGCUUGCUCCUCUGACGUUAGCGGCGGACGGGUGAGUAACACGUGGAUAACCUACCUAUAAGACUGGGAUAACUUCGGGAAACCGGAGCUAAUACCGGAUAAUAUAUUGAACCGCAUGGUUCAAUAGUGAAAGACGGUUUUGCUGUCACUUAUAGAUGGAUCCGCGCCACAUUAGCUAGUGGGUAAGGUAACGGCUUACCAAGGCAACGAUGCGUAGCCGACCUGAGAGGGUGAUCGGCCACACUGGCACUGAGACACGGUCCAGACUCCUACGGGAGGCAGCAGUAGGGAAUCUUCCGCAAUGGGCGAAAGCCUGACGGAGCAACGCCGCGUGAGUGAUGAAGGUCUUCGGAUCGUAAAACUCUGUUAUUAGGGAAGAACAAAUGUGUAAGUAACUAUGCACGUCUUGACGGUACCUAAUCAGAAAGCCACGGCUAACUACGUG
rnacentral:rRNA from 1 species